rnacentral:rRNA from 1 species
CGCGCAGGCGGCUGGUCAAGUCCGAUGUGAAAUCUCCCGGCUCAACUGGGAAACUGCAUCGGAAACUGCCGUGCUUGAGGACUGGAGAGGAGACUGGAAUUUACGGUGUAGCGGUGAAAUGCGUAGAUAUCGUAAGGAAGACCAGUGGCGAAGGCGGGUCUCUGGACAGUUCCUGACGCUGAGGACGAAGGCCAGGGGAGCGAAACG